rnacentral:misc_RNA from 1 species
UGAUGUUAGUCUCCCUGAUGAUAUUCGUUAGAAUAGCGCAGCAUCCAUGGUAACGUCCUCUGUUUCUCCGCUUCGAACGAUCAGGAUUUUCAGAUUUAACCCUUUCCGUGCCCAUUGUUAGGAUCUCAUUCACGUGCCCAGGUGCUACUUGAAUGGGAGGAUGACAUUGAGCACGAUGAUCAUAUUUAAUGUAGUAAUUUCUCAGCGACUGAUGAUGGGUUAGUGUAUCGUGCACGACGUAUUUUCCACAUUGUGUGUGUGUGUGUG